rnacentral:rRNA from 1 species
CCUACGGGCGACAGCAGUGAGGAAUAUUGGUCAAUGGACGAGAGUCUGAACCAGCCAAGUAGCGUGAAGGAUGACUGCCCUAUGGGUUGUAAACUUCUUUUAUAUGGGAAUAAAAUGUUCCACGUGUGCGUUUUUGUAUGUACCAUAUGAAUAAGGAUCGGCUAACUCCGUGCCAGCAGCCGCGGUAAUACGGAGGAUCCGAGCGUUAUCCGGAUUUAUUGGGUUUAAAGGGAGCGUAGAUGGGUUGUUAAGUCAGUUGUGAAAGUUUGCGGCUCAACCGUAAAAUUGCAGUUGAAACUGGCAGUCUUGAGUACAGUAGAGGUAGGCGGAAUUCGUGGUGUAGCGGUGAAAUGCUUAGAUAUCACGAAGAACUCCGAUUGCGAAGGCAGCUCACUAAACUGCAACUGACACUGAGGCUCGAAAGUGUGGGUAUCAAACAGGAUUAGAUACCCCUGUAGUC